GACGAACGCUGGCGGCGUGCUUAACACAUGCAAGUCGAACGGUAAGGCUCCAGCUUGCUGGGGUACACGAGUGGCGAACGGGUGAGUAACACGUGGGUGACCUGCCCUGCACUUCGGGAUAAGCCUGGGAAACUGGGUCUAAUACCGGAUAGGACCGCACCGUGAGGGUGUGGUGGAAAGUUUUUUCGGUGUGGGAUGGGCCCGCGGCCUAUCAGCUUGUUGGUGGGGUAAUGGCCUACCAAGGCGGCGACGGGUAGCCGGCCUGAGAGGGUGGACGGCCACAUUGGGACUGAGACACGGCCCAGACUCCUACGGGAGGCAGCAGUGGGGAAUAUUGCACAAUGGGCGGAAGCCUGAUGCAGCGACGCCGCGUGGGGGAUGACGGCCUUCGGGUUGUAAACUCCUUUCACCAUCGACGAAGGGUUUCUGACGGUAGAUGGAGAAGAAGCACCGGCUAACUACGUGCCAGCAGCCGCGGUAAUACGUAGGGUGCGAGCGUUGUCCGGAAUUACUGGGCGUAAGGAGCUCGUAGGUGGUUUGUCGCGUCGUCUGUGAAAUUCCGGGGCUUAACUCCGGGCGUGCAGGCGAUACGGGCAUAACUUGAGUACUGUAGGGGAGACUGGAAUUCCUGGUGUAGCGGUGAAAUGCGCAGAUAUCAGGAGGAACACCGGUGGCGAAGGCGGGUCUCUGGGCAGUAACUGACGCUGAGGAGCGAAAGCAUGGGGAGCGAACAGGAUUAGAUACCCUGGUAGUCCAUGCCGUAAACGGUGGGCGCUAGGUGUGGGUUUCCUUCCACGGGAUCCGUGCCGUAGCUAACGCAUUAAGCGCCCCGCCUGGGGAGUACGGCCGCAAGGCUAAAACUCAAAGGAAUUGACGGGGGCCCGCACAAGCGGCGGAGCAUGUGGAUUAAUUCGAUGCAACGCGAAGAACCUUACCUGGGCUUGACAUAUACAGGAUCGCGCCAGAGAUGGUGUUUCCCUUGUGGCUUGUAUACAGGUGGUGCAUGGUUGUCGUCAGCUCGUGUCGUGAGAUGUUGGGUUAAGUCCCGCAACGAGCGCAACCCUUGUCUUAUGUUGCCAGCACGUUGUGGUGGGGACUCGUAAGAAACUGCCGGGGUUAACUCGGAGGAAGGUGGGGACGACGUCAAAUCAUCAUGCCCCUUAUGUCCAGGGCUUCACACAUGCUACAAUGGUCGGUACAGUGGGUUGCCAGUCCGUGAGGGCGAGCUAAUCCCGCAAAGCCGGUCUCAGUUCGGAUCGGGGUCUGCAACUCGACCCCGUGAAGUCGGAGUCGCUAGUAAUCGCAGAUCAGCAACGCUGCGGUGAAUACGUUCCCGGGCCU
rnacentral:rRNA from 1 species